CCCAGGUCAGGCGGGGCUACCCGCUGAAUUUAAGCAUAUC
rnacentral:rRNA from 1 species